rnacentral:rRNA from 1 species
UUUUAUAUGGUAAGGCCUGCUCUAUGUUAGUUUAUAAAUGGCCGCAGUAUAUUGACUGUGCGAAGGUAGCAUAAUUAAUUGCCUCCUAAUUAGAGGCUAGUUUGAACGGUUUGACGUGGUUGUAAGGAAUAUUAUAAAUUUUGUUGAAUUUAAUAGAAAGGGCACAGAAUCCUUUAAUUUUAAUUAGACGGAAAGACCCCGGGAUCUUUAUUUUUUUGCUUGGGGCAAGUAUAAUUUUUUCAAAUUUAUUAUGACCCAUUAAGUGUUCAAAGGUUUAAGUUACCCCGGGGAUAACAGUGUAAUUAUUUAUAAGAGAUCUUAUCGAAUAAAUUGUUUGCUACCUCGAUGUUGACUUAGGUUUAUAUAUUGGCGCAGUAGUCAGUGUGUGUGGUCUGUUCGACCUUAUUUACCUAUAUGAGUUGAGUUAAGAUUGGA